UUGAACUGUAAAGAUUGUUCACACAUACCUGAGCUAUUCACCUGAACAGUGACAAAGAUGGUUUCAAAGUUUGAGGCAUCUAUUUCCAAGGGAUCUGAUUUAGUCUUUGACUUUUCUUGUGAUAUUUGUGAUGAAAAUGAGAUAAACAAACAGGCCGACAUGUACUGUGAGAAAUGUUCAAAGUGUUUAUGUGGCAGCUGUAUGCAACACCACAAUCAACUCUAUAAAAAGCACGUGGUAUUUGGGAGAGCAGAUCUGACCGAGUGGCCAGUUACCAAGGCAACAGAUGAUCCAAUAGAACUGUGUAGGGAUCACAAGGGCAAGAAAAUGGAAGUGUUUUGCGAGGAUCACUAUGAGUUGCUGUGCACAGUCUGUCAUGUUCACAAUCACAAAGCAAUGUCUCCACGUGAUGCUAAUAGCUGAUAAAGUGCAAGGCCUUCGCCAAAAAGAAGAUUUCCAACAACUUUUAGCAAAAUUCAACCUAUUACUAGGGCAGUUUGUUGAGAAGAAAACACAAGAAAAACGUCCAAUCUUAUUCUGGAAGAAAUCAAUGUUUCUCGUAAGAAUAUCAAUGAUUAUUUUGAUAAAAUGGAGAGAAAUACAGUCCAGGAGUUAGACACAGUGAAGACAUCUGUCCAACAUAAUGUCAAAACAUGCAACCAGUUUAUCGGAAACAUAAAAUCUGUACAAGAAGAGUUGAGGAAAAUUAAUGACAAACUUGAUGCUUCUCUUUUGUUAAUGUACAAACAAGGCCUUCACCAUAGAUUUAAAGCAAGGGCAGCUUUAAUUGAAAUGCCAACAAAUGUUGAAGUGGCAUUCACAUAUAUGCCAGAUACAGUCAUAGAAAAAAGGUUGUCUUGUCUCGCAAUGUUACAAAAUAUACACAGAGACAUACAGGAAUCGCAAAAUGAAAAAGACACACAUCAUGAAGAAAACCAAGUAUCAGAUCCAUCUAGGCAGACUACUACUUAAAUCGAGUUAAGUGAAAUAAACCAGCCAAGCUUGAUUUCAGAUUCAGAAUUAGGUUUGACAGGCGAAACAGAUAUCAGAAGAAAGUCGGCUUAUGAGAAUAUUCAAAUACCCGAUUUCGGAACCAGAUUGCAGCUUAAGUCUGACCCAGCACGCAUAACUCAUCAAAGUUAUGAAGUAAUCUGUCCCAUACAAAUCAAAACAGCAGAGUAAAAAGUUAUCAACAGUAUAUAGUGAAAUUGACUGAUGACUCCUUCCCCUGCAGUAUAACCAGCAUUUGUGAGAUAGCUUACGGAAUCCUUGUCAUCGCAGAAAUGGGUAAAACGAAAAUUGUUGGAUCGAAUUUACAAUGUGGUGUCCCAACUUGGCUUGAAUGGUUCCCCAAGGUCCAAGUUCAGCGUUGAAUCUAAUCUAGUGGCUGUUGCUCUGGAAAAUCAUGAAUGUUUAUUCAUCAAACUCACCAAUAGCAGCUUGGUACAAGACAGGACAUUUAGACUAUACCACCAGUGCAUGAGUGUUGCCCAUCACCAGGGUAAUCUGUAUAUAACAUGUAGCAUAUGUAGAUCUUGUGUCUACAAGAAUCACCGUAUCUUAUUUUGCGAGACAUGUAAACAUUGGGUCCACAAGAAGUGUACACAAGUGAAAACUGAUUUUUAUCAGAUGCAUAAGCAAUCGGCGACACGUCUUUCUUACACGUGCCCCCAUUGAGACUAUGUUCCCGAAGCUUCAGCACCAGCCUCCCCAUGUCGGCAACCACAUCCACAUGUCUCGAGCAGAGAGGUCGACCCAUCUACACCAAGGCCACAGAUUCCAUCAAAUUCAUCAGAUGAACAUUUUCAGUGUUUGAUAAAAAGGGACUUUAUUUUAUACAUUUUAACAUUAGAUCUCUUUUACCUAAAUUGUCUGAACUCAAAUUAAUUGCUGUCAAAACUAGAGCAGCUGUGAUAUUUUUUUCACAGACUUGUUUGGACAAUUCAGUUAAUGACGCUGAGAUAUACCUAGAUAAUUGCUCUGUCGUUAGACGGGAUAGAGAUAGACACGGUGGUGGUGUUUGUUGUUAUAUUUGAAAUGAUUUAGCGUUUAGUAUUAGAAAUGACUUGAAUGUUUUAAAUGAUGAAUUUGUUUUUAUUGAACUCCGUUUACCCAAAACAAAACCAAUUCUUGUUGGUACAUUUUAUAGACCACAUAAACAGUCAAUUUUUUUAGAACAUUAAGAGCAAAUUUAAACAAAUCUAAGGACAGAUUGUGAAACAUAUCUGUUAGGUGAUGCAAAUAUUUGUUUCAAACAGAAAUCUAGUUCCUUUUUAAAGUCUUAUUUAAAUGUUUUGAGAAUUUUUUUAUCUACAACAGAUUAUCAGUAAAGCAACCAGAAUCUUACCUACUACCAGCAGCAUGAAAGACCAUAUUUUGACUGGUUCCAAAGAAAGACUUAGUCAAUAUGGUGUGUUGGUUUAAGUGACCAUUAAAUGACAGUUUGUACAAAAAAGAUUUCUAAACGAACUUUCAAAAAACAUUAUUUUUUCUAAAGUUAGAUGUAUAAACAAUUAUACUAAAGAGAUAUUCAUUGAUAAGUUAGAAAUGCUGAUUUGAGUAAAUGUUUUUUAGGAUGAAAAUGUUUACAAUGCAUGGUAAGCUUUUAAAUAUAUUUUCAUGUCAGUUUUGAAAUCAGUCGCACCUGUAAAAGAAGUAAGACUCAAACAAAGGACUGAGCCUUGGAUGUCAGCUGAAAUUUUGCAUAUGAUUAAAGUUAGAGACUCCUAUCUGUAUAAGUUUAGAAAACAAGGAUGCCAUGAUGACUAUUCUAUGUAUUGUAAAUUUAUAAAUUAUGUACAAAUGGAAGUUAUCUCGUCCAAAUCAUCAUAUUUUUCAGACCAGAUUGAUGAAAACAGAAAUAACCCCAAACGUUUAUGGCAACAUCUGAAACAACUUGGUUAUAAAUCUUUUUAAUCUGGAAAUGAAAAUAUUGUAUUAAAUAUUGAAGAUGAAAACUGCCACAGCCGUAAGAAAGUUGCCUCUCAUUUAAACAACUUUUUUACCUCUGUUGCAUCAAAGCUUGCUGAAAAGUUACCAAACCCUACUAAAUGGUUUGAUCUAAACUCCCCGGCCCUGCAGGACUUUUAUAGAAAUAGAAAUGUUAGCAAUAGUAAUUUUUUCUUAAAGCAUGUGUCUGAAUCUUUUGUCUUCAAUGAACUUAAAAAUCUAAAAACGUCCAAAAGUACUGGUUUAGAUGAAAUUCCUGCCAGAUUUUUUAAGGAUUCUGCUAGUUUUAUGAAACUACCUGUAAGAUUUCUUAUUAAUAUGUCUUUUUCUGAGAAUUGUGUUGCCGAUGACAUGAAAGAAGCUAGAGUGAAACCAUUGUUUAAGAAAAAUAGUAAUCUUGAUGUUGGAAACUAUAGACCUGUUAGUAUCUUAAGUAUCGUAUCCAAAAUCUUAGAGAGAGCAAUUUAUACACAACUGGGGAAAAAUUUAGUAGGUAAUAAUUUAUUGUAUGAACUCCAGUCCGAGUUUAGAAAUUCAUAUUCUACUGACACCUUUCACAAAGAAGUAUUUCUCUCGAAUAUAAAUGCGGAAUCAUAUAUUGUUUCAAACAAAAUUAGUUGCACACAUUUGAUAGGCAAGUUUUUAUAUUGUGAAAAGAAUUUAAAAUAUCGUUUGAAUAUGAAAACCAUUAAUGUUUUACCUAAAAGUCUGAAAGUUUACGUCUGUAAAUUAAGAAUGACCAAGCAUCAAUUACGAAUUCAAACUAGUAGGUUCAGUAAUAAUCACAGAGCUUGAAAGAAAACUAUUGUUUUGUUGUAACUCACGUAACAUUGAAGAUGAUUAAUACUUUUUUAUUGCAAUCUGCCCUUGUUUUAAUGAUAUUAGAAAGAAAUACAUAAAAUCUCAUUAUUUCAAGUGACGAUCAUUACACACAUUCCAAAGCCUUAUUAAAACAUGUAAUAAAGAAAAACUUAUGAA